AGAAACCCAUUGGUUGUAAAUGGGUUUAUAAAAUCAAAUACAAGGCUGAUGGCUGUGUUGAAAGGUAUAAAGCUAGACUUGUUAUUAGAGGAGAUACACAGGUUGAAGGUAUUGAUUUCACUGACACUUUUUCUCCUGUAGUUAAAAUGUGCACUGUUAAGUGUCUCAUUGCUGUGGCUGUAUAAAAUCAUUGGACUUUAUUUCAACUAGAUGUUAAUAAUGCUUUCUUGCAUGGUGAUUUGGAUGAGGAGGUCUAUAUGAAGCUUCCUCCUGGUUUAGUUGUUUCUGCUCCUGCCUUUGUUUCUGCCCCUUCUGCCUCUACUGCUCCCCUUGUUUGCAAAUUAAACAAAUCCCUAUAUGGGCUCAGACAGGCUUCCAGACAAUGGUAUGCCAAGUUGUCUUCUGCUCGGCAUCCAGACAAUGGUAUGCCAAAUUGUCUUAUGCCUCAUAUUCCAGAGGCUAUAGACAUUCUUUGAAUGAUUAUUCUCUAUUCAUUAAAGGUACACCAGGGUCCCUUGUGAUUGUAGCUGUCUAUGUGAAUGAUAUUAUUCUUACUGGGGAUGACUGUGAUGAAAUUGGUGCCCUGAAACUGUAUCUGGAUGAUCAGUUCAAAAUUAAGGACCUAGGGUCCUUACAUUAUUUUUUAGGCAUAGAGAUUUGAUGCCCUGAAACUGUUUUUGGAUGAUCAGUUCAAAAUUAAGGACCUAGGGUCCUUACAUUACUUUUUAGGCAUAGAGAUGUCAGCUGUUCCUGGUGGGAUGAUCCUUAAUCAGCACAAAUAUAUUUCUGAUUUGCUGCAACAAUUUGACUGUGUCAAUGUCUCUUCUGUUGUUUGUCCUUUGGACAUUAAUGCAAAAUUUCAUGCUAAUUCUGGUGACCUUUUACCUUCUCCUGAUCAAUAUAGGAGUCUUGUUGGUAAGCUCUUAUUUUUUACUCAUACUAGGCCUGACAUCUGUUUUGUUGUGCAACAUCUGAGUCAGUUUCUGAAAUGCCCCAGACUUCCACAUAUGACUGCUGCCUUUCAUGUGUUGAGAUAUCUUAAAGGUACCC
rnacentral:lncRNA from 1 species